UACAGAGGGUGCGAGCGUUAAUCGGAAUUACUGGGCGUAAAGCGCGUGUAGGCAGCUUGGCAAGUCGGGUGUGAAAGCCCUGGGCUCAACCUAGGAAGUGCACUCGAAACUGCUUCGCUUGAGUAUCGGAGAGGAAAGCGGAAUUCUCGGUGUAGAGGUGAAAUUCGUAGAUAUCGAGAGGAACACCAGUGGCGAAGGCGGCUUUCUGGACGAUCACUGACGCUGAGACGCGAAAGCGUGGGGAGCAAACAGG
rnacentral:rRNA from 1 species